AGGGUUUUAAGUUAUUUAAACUCUAAACCUUCAAAGUUUAAUAAAAAAGUAACCAUUCUUUUAAACCCUA
rnacentral:tRNA from 1 species